AUGGCAGAUUCUGGAGACUUCCGAAGGUGGACCGGAUCUUCACGUUGCCCACGGCCUGUUCCUGCCGCCAGCAGCCAGCGGAAGACCUCACUGCGGCCUCCGAGCACCGACAAAAGGACCCGAUGCUGCCCAGUAGCUUGGGACCCUCUGUUGCAGAUCCCAGAGCCCCCAGGGCGCCCAGACUGUCACCACAGGCCUCCUGGCCAGGGAAACGGGGGAGGGCCCAGUGGAGGACGCGGACGUAAGAGGCUUUUGUCAGGCAAGUCUGCAGGUACAGGGGGCCGGUUCCUGCAUCCAGGGGCUGCUGGCUUGAGCUCAGGGUGUGAGCGAGGACAGCCCCCCACGUCCCUCCCUCCCUCCGCAGGAACAGGUCCCCCCACCGCCACCCACCGCCUCCCGGCUGUUGCCAGGGAGACGGGGGAGACCCCGGGGCUCGAGGCCUCAACCCAACCUGACCAAAAGGUGUCGCUGGAGGCUCUCGGUCUCCUCACAAGAAACAUUCAAGGACGGACGGGCACACCGUGUUUCAGCCAAGCCCGUGGGAGUGCAUUAGAGCGAGCGCGCUACCCCCCACGCCAUGUGAGGGUCUGUCUGUCACCGACGGUUGUUAACAAGGACGCGGAAUGUUAUUACCGGGGGAAGGGAAUUUGGGGAGGGGGGUUUGCGCCUCUUCUGCCUUCCUCGGUCAGGGUCUCCCGCCUUCUUUGUCGUGGGCGGGGGUUUGAUCCCGCUGCCUCCGGCUCUCAUUUGCCGGGUGCUGCCGGGACCGGCCUCCGACCUCCCGAGAGUGGGCCCCAACCCCCCCUCUGCUGGCCUGCACGCGUCCUCUUACAACCCGACUAGCUGCCUAUUUUAACGCUGCCCGCCAAGGAAACCUUAAAAUCUUUUAAAAGAAUGGGUGAUGGCCCGUCUUCCCUCACGACCGCGUGCGGGGUUGGGACGCUGACCUGCCUGAAGGCCCCGGAGGUCCCCUCUCUCUAGGUUUUAGGAGACCCGGAGGGACAGCGGGGAGCAGGACAAGGGGUGGCUCACUCAGUUUCGGGGUUUCUUUCGGGGUUGCUGCGGCGAGAGGAAAUAAGUGUGUUAGUAACUUGAGGCCCCGGGGUCCGACAUCAGAAUGGGGUGUGCGGUCGCUAGGGGUCCGGGAGGAGGGUGGGCCAUGAGGAGUCCAAGGAGCCCCCCGGGAGGAGGCGGAGGCAGGUGGGGGUUUAGGACCUGGGGUCCUUCCUCGGAACUUAUCCGCGGCCCGGACGCAUGGGCCACUUGCUGGAGAUGUGGGCUUCUGCGGGGUGGUGUGGGGGGCGUCCUUGGCAGUUGAGAGGCCCCCUCCUUGCAGCUGGCCGCGUGGGCGCGUGGACGAGGAGGGUCUGCUGACAGUCCGGCACCUGUUAACUUUGGGGCCCCCUACUCUCGGGGCUCUGCUCCGGGGAGUAAGUCUGCGCUGUGGUGCUGGGCGUAGGGCCCCCGCCUCCAGAACCUGGCAGAGGGGGGCCUCUUACACGGAAUAGCCGCCAGCGGUGAGCCAGCUGCCGUCCCGGUCGCCUAGAGUUGGCCUCUCAGGCCUGGCCUGCUGUGCCAGGGCCGGGCGCCUGUCACCCCCCGCGGCAGGAGGGCAGCGGGGGGCUCAAGGAUCUAGCACACUUUGACUUACUUCCUGAGAGUCCAGCCCUGGGGCCUGACCUUCGGGGAAGCAUCCUCUGGCUGCCGUCGCUGUCCCGUGGUCUCCGGACUCCCUGUACCUGCUGGAGUCUGAGCCCCAAGGAUGUGACCCGACGCCGCCUUGAUGGCUUCUCCCUCGGAGAGCACAGCGGCGGCCACCGCCCUUGGGUGUCCGAGUGUUUCGAAAGAAAGGCUGUGGGUCGCGGGCGGCCCCCGGGCUUGAGUAGGUGCCCCCAGAGUCACCCCUUGCCUUUCGGCCACAAGUAAGGUGAAGCACUUUUCAAGGUUGGGCAUCCCCACCAUGGGGGCUGUUGCGAGCAGGCUCUGAGCUGUCGCUCUCCCUUCCGUGCAAGUGGGUCGGUGUCCGGGCCUUUUAAAGCCUGGGGCAGGGGUUUGGCCGUGAGCCCGAACUCCGGAAUCCAGAUUCCGCAAAACACACCAUCCUAGAAACGUCUCGCCUCUGCACGGUAUGGCUUCCUUGUGCUUACGGAAAGGGCCCGCCUUCCCGGGGUUCGGACGUGUCCCGAGUGUCCUCGCGUGGGCCUCUGUUGGGGCCACUCCACACCCUUGCGGCGACAGGACGCCGGUCCUUCCUGGAAGGGGCUACAGGGGAGCGCGUCACCCACACAUGGCAAGCAAGCUUCCUGAGCCGUCUGGCAGGAGCGUCGCCAGACAGGUGGGGACUGUCCCUGAAGCCCAGGGCAGGACUGCGGGCGUAAUGCUGAGUCACACUGGUGGGUGGAUGUCGCUCCCUUCAAAGGCAAGCGUUCUGAGAUUCCAGACGUAAGUGCGCAGAAGAAAGCGGCUUGGAGACGUGGGACCGUGAGCCAGGCGGUGCCUUCCGGGGUCAGGGGUGAGACAGUGCAGGGAUGAGGCGCCUGGGGGGCUCAGUCGGUUGGGCGUCCGACUUCGGCUCAGCUCAUGAUCUCACGGUCCGUGAGUUCGAGCCCCGCGUUGGGCUCUGUGCUGACAGCUCGGAGCCUGGAGCCUGCCUCGGGUUCUGUGUCUCCCCCUCGCUCUGCCCCUCCCCUGCUUGUGCUCUCUCUCUCUCUCUCUCUCUCUCUCUCUCUCUCUCUCUCUCAAAGAUAAAUAAAUCGACAUGAAAACAGAAGACA
rnacentral:lncRNA from 1 species